rnacentral:rRNA from 1 species
UACGUAGGGGGCGAGCGUUGUCCGGAGUUACUGGGCGUAAAGCGCGCGUAGGCGGGUUGGCAAGUCUGCUGUGAAAGCCCGGGGCUUAACUCCGGAGGGUCGGUGGAUACUGCCAGUCUUGAAGGUGCUAGGGAGAGAUGGAAUUACCGGUGUAGCGGUGAAAUGCGUAGAUAUCGGUAGGAACACCAGUGGCGAAGGCGGGCUCUUGGGGCAUUCUUGACGCUGAGGCGCGAAAGCUGGGGGAGCGAACGGG